ensembl:lncRNA
CAAGUGUCAGUGCUAUCCGGAAUCAUUGGGACGUCCUUAACACAGACAGAAGGGGCUAUAAGUAUCUUUGUCCCUACUCUAAAACCCCUAACGUAACCAUUUAACAUUUCAGAUUCAAUGCGUGGUAGGGACGUCCAAGGGAACUCGGAUAGCAAUGACCCUGUGGUAAGAAGGCAGAGGCACUAGAUUUUUUUUAUAACUUUGGAGAUACAGUACUUUUUUUGUCCGGCUCAUUAAUAUUGUAACAACAUAACAUGGUGUCAGAAUAAACCGCGAAAAAUGGAAGAUGGCUCUGUUACAACCAACAUCUAGCUUGUCUACAAGGACAUUUUUGUUGAAGACUGGAAGAUUUGGAUACACAAGUUUGAAUUGUUUCUGACCGCGAGUGGCAUUGCUGAAAAGGAGGAGAAAGUGCAAUGUGCUACGUUCUAGACAUCGCGGGAGAGGAGGCAAUCAAGGGAUGCAAACAGGUUUGAAUUUGCCGAAGGCGAGAAAGACAAGAUUGCCAUGCUGAAACAGAAAAAGAGACCAGCUGUUGAAAGAGGCAGAUCUCACAUUGGCUAAAGCUAUUAAUGUGUGUUGUGCUAGUAAAAUCACGUCCAGUGGGGUAAAAAUGGUCAAUGAGGAAGUUGAAGUACGCCAUAUAAAAAGUGUCAGUACUGCAGAGGUUCAAGAAGAACAGAGCAAAGGCAGCUCAAGAUGAACUAAAUAUGUGUGUCAAUUGCAAUAGAUGUGGUUGCAAGCAUGAGCACAGAAAAUGCCCAGCCUAUGGUCAAGUAUGUAAAUCCUGCCAAAAGAAGAAGAAUCUUAGAGCCAACCGAGGAUAAUGCACACCGUUGAGCAGAGUGUUCCAGAGACCCUUGGCACAGAUGAUUGAAGCCCUGGAUGGAGUCGUCAACGAUCAUUUGUUGGUCUGGGGUGAAACUAAGGAGGAACAUGACCGCAGACUGGUCAAGCUGCUACAGAGCGAGCGAGUACAAUCUAAAACUAAACAGGAAGAAAUGUAAAAAGGUAAUAACAGAGAUAAAGUACACUGGUCACAUGCUAAUGGCCAGUGGUCUGAAACCAGAUGAGGACCGUGGUGCAGAUGCUAAUGGCCAGGGGUCUGAAACCAGAUGAGGGCUGUGAUGCAGAUGCUAAUGGCCAGGGGUCUGAAACCAGAUGAUGAGGGCCGUGGUGCAGAUGCUAAUGGCCAGGGGUCUGAAACCAGAUGAUGAGGGCCGUGGUGCAGAUGCUAAUGGCCAGGGGUCUGAAACCAGAUGAUGAGGGCCGUGGUGCAGAUGCUAAUGGCCAGUGGUCUGAAACCAGAUGAUGAGGGCUGUGGUGCAGAUGCUAAUGGCCAGGGGUCUGAAACCAGAUGAUGAGGGCUGUGAUGCAGAUGCAAAUGGCCAGUGGUCUGAAACCAGAUGAUGAGGGCUGUGGUGCAGAUGCUAAUGGCCAGUGGUCUGAAACCAGAUGAUGAGAAGGUGUGGGCCAUGGUGCAGCUGCCUCUACCCGAAGACAAACAAGCACUGCAGAGAUUCAUGUGCAUUCUACACCAAUCUUGCCUAAUUCAUUCCCAACCUGUCUGAGGUGAACGCUCUGCUCAGAAAGCUACUUGAGAGUGACACUGAAUGGCAUUAGGAACAAAAACAUAAGAACUGUUUUUUUUGUGUGUUUUUUUUACUCAAAAGACUGGCAACAAAUGCAAAUGACCUGAAUAAACCCCUAUUACUUUCACUAGAUGUCAGUUCAGGAGGUAUGGG